CACCCAGGACCAUGUUCCCAAGCUGUGGCACCUCCUAAAGAGGUGCUGGGAGCAUCACAUUAGGCUGAAUACAGAUGAGCUGACGCCAGCGCCGUAACAAGGGCGAGGCGAGUGAGGCACUUGCCUCGGGCACGGAAAGCCGAGGGGCGCAGGGCAGCUGCUGGCUCUAUGGCAACCAGAGACGCUGGCCAGCAGAGGGCUGAAGGCGAGCAGCCAGCUGCAGCACAUCAGGAGUGGGAGGACGGAGGCACACACCCUCCCCUCCCCUGGCACCCACCUGGAGGAGAUGCCGAGGGGGCUUCCGGUGGGAGACAGGAUCAUCGGCAGUGGACCUCACUCACCUGAGCAGCUGCUGGGGCUUCGGGCCCAAAUGAUAACCCAGCACAGGGACUGAUGGGCCAGAGAACCAAAACUCUGCUUCCCAUGAGGGGGUCGUCUGUGGCAGCCCAGUGGUGGAAAUACAGACAAGACACAGACAGAGUUAAGAGAAAACCAAGCUAAGCAAGCAGCCCACCACAACAAAGGAGCCAAGGACCUGAAGCCACUAUGCACAGUCUAAUUGUAUCAGGCAGAUGUUACCGAAUGAAUCAGUCACUGGCUAUAGAAAGUUGUCCUUUAAGAAAGAUGGGGCCAAAGAUUUGAAUGCGUAAGAAGAC